rnacentral:rRNA from 1 species
AGUGAACGCUGGCGGCGUGCUUAACACAUGCAAGUCGAACGAUGAAGUCCUUCGGGAUGGAUUAGUGGCGCACGGGUGAGUAAUAUAUAGGUAAUGUGCCUCUUAGUCUGGGAUAGCCACUGGAAACGGUGAUUAAUACCGGAUACUCCUUCUAGUUAUAAGACUAGUCGGGAAAGUUUUUCGCUAAGAGAUCGGCCUAUAUCCUAUCAGUUAGUUGGUGAGGUAACGGCUCACCAAGGCAAUGACAGGUAGCGGGUUUGAGAGGAUGAUCCGCCACACUGGUACUGAGACACGGACCAGACUCCUACGGGAGGCAGCAGUGAGGAAUAUUGCACAAUGGGGGAAACCCUGAUGCAGCAACGCCGCGUGGAGGAUGACGCAUUUCGGUGUGUAAACUCCUUUAUGAGUCAAGAAAUGACGGUAGCUCAUGAAUAAGCACCGGCUAACUCCGUGCCAGCAGCCGCGG